AUCAUGAUCACACUCCUCGUACUCUUGCACGCUCUGGUGUUCUGUUCAACAGAACUCUCAAAGAACAGAGUCGAUCAGAGUCCUGCAGCGCUGAUCGAACCCUCUGGAGAAACAGUGACGUUAAGCUGCAACCAUUCAAACUCUAACUUUGAUAUGAUCCAGUGGUACAAACAGUCCGCUGGGAAACAUGACAUGGUUCUGCUCGCCUAUGUUCGAUUCACUUCAAAAGUUGUGGAAGAUAAAUUCAUUGGCGUGUACAAUGUGAGCGGUGUUGGUGGAAGUCUGUCGAGUCUUCAGAUUCUGAAGCUGCGAGGAUCAGAGGACAGCGCUGUGUAUUUCUGUGCUGCCAGUGACGCACAGUGUCGCACAAACCCUCAGUCUGUAACAAAAACCUGCUCUGAUGCAGACAGACGACACGAACACCACAGAAACAACAACAAACCCUGCACCCUCCAGCUGCCUGGCAUCAGAUAG